rnacentral:rRNA from 1 species
UGGGGAAUAUUGCACAAUGGGCGCAAGCCUGAUGCAGCAACGCCGCGUGAGGGACGACGGCCUUCGGGUUGUAAACCUCUUUUGGCAGGGAAGAAGCGAAAGUGACGGUACCUGCAGAAAAAGCACCGGCUAACUACGUGCCAGCAGCCGCGGUGAUACGUAGGGUGCAAGCGUUGUCCGGAAUUAUUGGGCGUAAAGAGCUCGUAGGCGGUUUGUCGCGUCUGCUGUGAAAACCCGAGGCUCAACCUCGGGCCUGCAGUGGGUACGGGCAAACUAGAGUGCGGUAGGGGAGAUUGGAAUUCCUGGUGUAGCGGUGGAAUGCGCAGAUAUCAGGAGGAACACCGAUGACGAAGGCAGAUCUCUGGGCCGUAACUGACGCUGAGGAGCGAAAGCAUGGGGAUCGAACA